CUAGAAAAACAGGACCUGAACCUGCACCAAGAGGCUCAAAACCCCUCGUACUUCCACUAUACUAUUUUCUA
rnacentral:tRNA from 1 species